rnacentral:lncRNA from 12 species
AGGAGCACUCCAGAAUCCAGCAGCCAGGAGAUAAGGAAGAAUCAGCAAAGGAGGCAGAAAAGAAGAGAAGACAGGUGAGUGUGGAAUCCAUCUCCUCAUUAGAUUGUAAACUGUGUGAUGAUGGGAAUCAUAUGAGCUUGUUCAAGUGUUAUAUCCUUCUUUAGUAUCUCAUUCACAGAAAGCAAUAAGUACUGACUGAAUGAAUAUCAAUAGCUUGUAUAUGAAGCAGAGUUCUUUUCUAUGCCACCAAAUUCUUGAUUUUUUUUAAUUGACAUAAAAUUGGUAUAGAACAUUAAGAUUCAGGUGUUCUUUCUGACAGUCUUUCUCCAGGCAUAGUGAUUGAAGAUGUACAGAGUCUUCCUCUUCAGAUCCAGGUGUCUCUUCCGAAUGUCCCCUGGUCAUUUUGACACCCAUGGCUCUAGCCCUCUGGAACCAUGGAAGGUGCAGAAGAGAAAAAUGGAUGGUCACUGUUAUGCCAAGAACCCUUAAGAAAAAGAAAAAAAAAACCCUCACAGAACUGAACCUCAACUUAAGAAAGAAGUUUGCCCAAAAGAUGUUUUGAAAGGCAAGGAAAAACUUACCUGUGAUAAAGCAGUACUUGUGUAGUUUUUGUGUAUCGCUCAUAUUAGCUUUCUGGAAUUGAGAGAUGAGGUAAAGCCUGGAAAACUCCCCCAACAAGGUCAGGUUCCUGUUGACUAAUUCUGUGAUCACCAAGAACAGUCCCUGAGUCCUUGAGGCCAAAGGCUGUGGCACAGACUCUGCUUGGAGCUGAGUGUGGUUUCUGAGAGGCUUCGGCUCUGUGGAUGAGGAGAGGCUCCAGGAAGUCUUCAGUCACACAUUCACAAACAAGUCCUGGAUCAUCAUUCAUCCAUUCAACCCUCCUUUCACUCAGUCACCGCAUGAGUCUUUUUUUGAGCACCCACAAUAUAUGUGUCACAAUGUAUGUGCCAGGCACUGUCUUCGUUUCUGAGCACAGGACAAUGGAGAAAACAGAAAUCCCUGUCCUUAAGGAUUUUGUAUUCUAAGAUAAAGAAGACAAUAAACUUAACAAGUAUUAAAAUUGUGUAGUAUGU